rnacentral:rRNA from 1 species
GUCCACGCCGUAAACGAUGAGUGCUAGGUGCUAUGGGUAUUGACCCCCGUGGUGCCGCAGCUAACGCGUUAAGCACUCCGCCUGGGGAGGUACGGCCGCAAGGCUAAACUCAAAGGAAUUGACGGGGGCCCGCACAAGCGGUGGAGCAUGUGGUUCAAUUCGACGCAACGCGCAGAACCUUACCUGGGUUAAAUCCACUAGAACUUGCCAGAGAUGGCUUGGUGCCCUUCGGGGAGCUAGUGAGACGGUGCUGCAUGGCUGUCGU